GGAGCCUGGUGCUGUGCCAGGGGCUCAGUCAUGCCCAAUGCACAGAACUGGGUGGGGGAGUCCCAGCCGCUAGGUUGGGAUUCCAGGCAAACAGAAGGAGGGGUCCCGUUGUAAAGCAUCAGGGAGUCCCAGGCAAACAGCAUGGCAGAUCCUGCUGGAGGACAAGUGGGGAUCCUAGGCAGGCAGUAGGGGAAUCCUAGGCAGGCAGUGAGGGACUGAAUUCCCAGUGAGGGGUCCCCUUGGGGGGUGGUCCCUGACUGUUGGGGGCUCUUGGGUUGGGGAACCCUUUAGGAUUCCCAGCCUGCCAGUGAUGGUCUGGUGGGGGUUCUCUGGCCAGUGGGGUGCUGAAGGGGUAUCUGGAGUCCCUGUUCAGGGAUUUGGGGGGGUUGGGUCCCAGGGAAUAUCUGGUGGGACCCUGGCUGUGAGGUCUGGGCUCUGGAUACUGGGGGUGUCUGGGUACCCCUGGAUGGAGGCUCUGGGGGCUGCUACUAACCAUGUUCCUUCUCUCUGAUCAGCUUGUGCCAGAUUCCUGGCUCCAAGCACUGCCCAGCAUUCCCCAGCCACGCCCAGUCAUCAUGAUAACUUUCUGUCCACUUAUCAAACAUCUUGAAAACUCCAGGACCUUCCAGUUACAUUGGAAAAAUUUGUGCCCCGAGUCCUUAUACUAGAUCUGAUGGGUGAGGCAGGUGGGAAGGGCGCUAGAAAUGCCACACGAUGGUCUCUUCCACAGCAGUCUGGACUCAUUCUUUCUGAAACCUGGUUUCACUGAGACCAUGAUAAUCCAGAGUCACUGUAUGGAAAGACAAGGAAUGACUCCAGUGGGGCAAACGAGAUCAGCAACUCUCCCUGUGAGGAGGCUCUCAUUAGCUGCUCUCCCCAGAGAGCUAAAGAAGGGAAGCUGCUCAAACGCUCUGUCCCUCUCUGCUCAGGAUGUUGGGGUUCAGCUUCCUUGGUCAGAUGCUGCAGCCUCCAUUGUGAUCUGGGAGACCAGGCUUAGCAGCUGCUGCUCCCCCAGUGGGGGUUCUGUGUUGAGAUGUGACCUUAAUUAAAGCUUCUUCUCUGCCUGGCCCAGGGGAUGACUUUCUGCAGCUGGUACUAGCCCCUUGGGGCAGACCUGGGCCCUGUUAAUGCAAAUUCUGAGCCAGAGUCUCCAGGUAACUGAAAGACCUCAGGGAAAAUGCUGGGGCCUGGUAAGAAAGUGACUGCACAAACAGCCCCUCGUCAUUUCUCCUCCCAUUAGCAAUUGCCAGGAGAAAAUCCAGCCAUGGGAGAACAAAACCCCAAGGAAUGGGACUUUCCCAGCCAGAAGAGCAGGGAGAGAGGACAAGGGAAGGAGAGACUGAAAGGGGCAGUGGGAGAAAUAAGUGGGGGGAGAGAUUUCCAGCUCUCUAGUCCACCCAGACACAGGUAUUGCAGCAUCCCUGGGCAGAACCACUUUCCAGUGAACAAGAAAAGGAUCGGACAGAGGAAAAGCCAGUUCCUGACUCCAUAUUCCCCUGUUGGGGUGUGACUGCCAUGGGGCCAGUGUCCGAGGGAAUCCCUCACAGUGACUCCUUUGGUUCUGCUCUUUUCUAGACUUGUGUUCAGAGACUUUGUUACGGGGUGAGGGGAGGGAAAAGGGAGGUUAAAAAUGUCUCUGUGGGCUUAGCCUGGCACGAGGGGCCAGGUCUAUACUCUAAUAAAGAGAUCAAGCAUGUUCCUAGCAUGGCAGAGUCUAGGAAAAUGUCUGUCUGGAGGGAAAGGACCUGGGGGAAUCGUGAUGUGAAAUUAACUAAAGCCUGUUCUGAAACCUCCACAAUUGCUCUUCUCACCCUGCCAGGGCUGCAGAAUGAUGUCCAUGUUUUUCUCCAGCUCAUCCCAUCCUCCCAUGACAGGGAAGAAAAAUGACUGCAGUGGAGGCAGCUCAGGUAAGAGCUUGCCAUCUGCUAUGGCGGAGAAGACUGGAUGGGAGCUGCUGGAUUGACCCUGCUAUACCCAUGUCUUUGUGUGGAUGCAGGACCUAUAGCUCAGGGAUGACGAGCAGCAGAUGUAACACAUCUCCAGGAAUGAGCCAAACAACCACACAUUGAUAGAUCUCAGCCGCUCAGCACAAUGUGGGAGAGCCGAGUGCUGAUGGGCUAGAGGUGUCCAGGAGUCGCUGUGCAGCAGGUGCAGUGUCUGCAGUCACCACGGACCAAACCCUGUGCUCCAGAAAACCCAGGCUGUUUCCUUGGAUUGCAAAGGGGACUUUAGCUUGGGGAAGCAGUUGCUGAUGCUUGUGUCCGCUACUGGGAUGUUUACAUGAAGAGCGAUGCAAGCAAGGGGGAAUGGACAUCAGCGAGCAUGGCUGGGGCCUUUGCAGAGCUGUUGCAGUCCAGCAUUCACAGCCAGAAGAGAGACAAUUGGAAACUUGCUUAGAUGGCUGGCGACAGCAGCAGCAGCUGUCUCAUUCAGCUCUGCUCAUGCUCUAGACAACAGAGCCAGGACAAAGAGCCACACAAUGAGAACCUGGGUUGCAAUUAGCAAUAGGCAUUUUUUCCCAA